UAUAUGGGCACCCGGAGGGUUGUGGACUAAGUUCAAGAUUAUGAAAAAAUUGAUGCAAAAUUUCAAUAAGGGCAAAAGAGAUUUCACUUGGAACACAUAAAAUGCCAAAAUUACUGCUUCAGUGUGACAUAUAUGCAAAGCAUAUAUGACCACAUGGGAUUUUAUUGUUUCUAGGAAAUACUGGGCAUCAAACAUAGUUUUCUUCAAUAAGGUAAUUCUGUAAUAAUGGUGUUACUUAUUUAUUUAUUCAUUCUUUCAUUCAAUAUAGGGUUGAUGUGUUGCACAUUUCCAGGGAGCAUCAGUGAUAUCAUCAUCUAUGUGGACAGUGCCCUUGAAGCUGUACAGGACACAACCUUCACAACCAUAUUCAGUUUGAUGAACAACAUAAACUGGGAGCUCAGUGGUCUAAAAGGACUUGACGUGUGGAAUGAAGGUCUCCUAGCCCACAAUGUAUUCAGUCCUCCCCACUACCCAGCCUCACAAGGAUACCAAUGCAGCCGUGUCAAGUGACAUUCAUUUGGAAGUCUGUGAACAAAAGAG
rnacentral:lncRNA from 1 species